GCUGAGUUUGAACCCGCCACCUCCGGCAUAUGGGGCUGGCACCCCACUCCUUUGAGCCACAGGCGCUGCCCAGAGAGGAUGCUAUUUUUAAUCUGGUGGAUUAUUUGCUGGAAGGCAAAGAAAGUGCCCCAAAGCAUGUAGCCUUCAUCUUCUUGGACAGCUCCAGCUGCCUGAAAAUUCUUCCUAAUAUUGGGCCCCAGAUUGGAUCCCCAGAUUGGGCCAAAUGCUGAUGGCCCCAGAUUGGAUCCUCCAAAAAAUUGGAGAAUUUACUACUCCAGUUCCCGGUAUGAGUCAUAGCUGCAAGUCCUGGCUCUGGUGGAUGUGAGCUGAAGCCCCAGCCUCCAUCACUCACCCUCAUCUGUAAGAUGGGGAUCAUUGUGGUGGUUGGAAGUAAUAGCACACGCUAAGCAGUUUAAAUGUCCUAAGUGUAAGUGGUAGUUGCUGUAAAUGGUUGUUAUUUACCUCCUGGGCUGCACAUACUAAAGUACUCCACACAGGAUUGGCACUCACUUCUCUAUAAGUGUUUCUUUUAAAAACCAUUUUUGUAAAAAACCUGACAUUAAAUCAACUCCUUCUUCCACGUGAAGGCCUUCCCUUAAUAUAAAAGUCCCCACCCCCACCUGCCUUAUAGGGUCAUUGUGCAAGUAAAUGAACAAUCUAGUGACGCACCCGGCUUGCGGCUGACCCCUGAGCUGGGUCUCAGCCAAGAUUACGUCCCUAAGCUCUGUCCAAGUGUGGCUUGGUGUCUAGACCUACACUGAGAUGUGGUAGCAGCUGGUCAUAUGUGACAGAACUGGAGUAGUAAAUUCUGAGGAUUCAAAGUGGGGCCCAAUAUAAGGAAGAAUUUUCAGGCAGCUGGAGCUGUCCAAGAAGAUGGAGGCUACAUCCCUAAUGAGGGAGCUGCUCAGCUUGGAAACCACCCAAGCAUCUAAGCCUCCCACCAGCAAUCGUGUACAACAGAGAUCCUGUCCAUGGCCCUCUUGAAAUGGAAUUCAGAGUGUUCAAUGUCUGUGUAGUUUUCUGGGGAGGGUAGCCAGGGCCACCAUCUGAUUCCCAAAAGGGUUAGUGGCCCCCACAGCUGGGGAGUGACCAGAGGUUAAGGUCCUGGCCCCCAGAAAGAGGCUGCCUGAGACGCCCUCUGAGGCCACAGACAGAGAAUCUAGAUUUCACAUCCAGAAAACCAUUCCCCUAGCUGGGUUUUUGUUUGGGAAAAUCCUGGGGACCGGAAGAAAAUGUCCCCAGUGGCCCCCCAGCCUAAUGCCUGGGGGUCCCACUGCCUGGG